CAAGUGUAUACAUCUGUACAACCUAAACCUCUAUCAAGAUAUUGAACACUAACAACCCCAGAAAAUUGCUUCAUGCUCUUUUUCAGUCAAUCCCUGACCCAGUCCUUCAGAGGCAACUCUGUUCAGAAAUGCUUUUACUAUAGGUUAGUUUUGUCUAUUCUAGAAUUUCAUAAAAUGGAACGUGUACUCUUGUGUAAGGCCGCUUCCAUUCAGCAUAAUUUUUAAAAAAAUUCAGAGUGCCUGACCACAGCAAUAACCAGCCCUCAUUAGGGCCCCGGAUGAUUUUUGGUCUAAUAAUGCAUGCUAGCAUUGAUGUUGUUUGGUAUGAACAGGAAGAAUUAUGCAGCAGGCUUUAUUUUAAAUGCCAAUUCAUAUUACUCUGUUCAAGCUGAGUUGAGAUGUUGAACUGAUUUACUAUAGACUUUGUAAAAACAGCUUCAGAAGAGUAACAAACUGAAAUCUUUGAGAUCACACAGGUUGGA
rnacentral:lncRNA from 1 species